rnacentral:miRNA from 1 species
UAUUAGGUUGGUGCAAAAGUAAUUGCAGUUUUUGCCAUUAAUCUUAAUGGUAAAAACCGCAAGUACUUUUGCACCAACCU